UGAGAGGAUGAUCCGCCACACUGGGACUGAGACACGGCCCAGACUCCUACGGGAGGCAGCAGUGGGGAAUAUUGGACAAUGGGGGGAACCCUGAUCCAGCCAUGCCGCGUGUGUGAAGAAGGCCUUAUGGUUGUAAAGCACUUUAAGCGAGGAGGAGGCUACUGAGACUAAUACUCUUGGAUAGUGGACGUUACUCGCAGAAUAAGCACCGGCUAACUCUGUGCCAGCAGCCGCGGUAAUACAGAGGGUGCGAGCGUUAAUCGGAUUUACUGGGCGUAAAGCGUGCGUAGGCGGCUUUUUAAGUCGGAUGUGAAAUCCCCGAGCUUAACUUGGGAAUUGCAUUCGAUACUGGGAAGCUAGAGUAUGGGAGAGGAUGGUAGAAUUCCAGGUGUAGCGGUGAAAUGCGUAGAGAUCUGGAGGAAUACCGAUGGCGAAGGCAGCCAUCUGGCCUAAUACUGACGCUGAGGUACGAAAGCAUGGGGAGCAAACAGGAUUAGAUACCCUGGUAGUCCAUGCCGUAAACGAUGUCUACUAGCCGUUGGGGCC
rnacentral:rRNA from 1 species